UACGAAGGGGGCUAGCGUUGUUCGGAAUUACUGGGCGUAAAGCGCGCGCAGGCGGUCUUCCAAGUCAGUGGUGAAAGCCCGGAGCUCAACUCCGGAAUUGCCAUUGAAACUGUUAGACUUGAGGAUGAGAGAGGUGAGUGGAAUUCCCAGUGUAGAGGUGAAAUUCGUAGAUAUUGGGAAGAACACCGGUGGCGAAGGCGGCUCACUGGCUCAUUACUGACGCUCAGGCGCGAAAGCGUGGGGAUCAAACAGG
rnacentral:rRNA from 1 species